UACAGAGGUCCCAAGCGUUGUUCGGAUUCAUUGGGCGUAAAGGGUGCGUAGGUGGCGCCGUAAGUCGGGUGUGAAAUUUCGGAGCUUAACUCCGAAACUGCAUUUGAUACUGCGGUGCUUGAGGACUGGAGAGGAGACUGGAAUUUACGGUGUAGCAGUGAAAUGCGUAGAGAUCGUAAGGAAGACCAGUGGCGAAGGCGGGUCUCUGGACAGUUCCUGACACUGAGGCACGAAGGCCAGGGGAGCAAACGGG
rnacentral:rRNA from 1 species